UCCAACUCUUGACUUUCAUUCCAUUACCCCACACUACCUAUUAGUCUUUCUUAUACCUAUACAUCUACCAACUUUCACCUCCACUAUCCCAAACCUCAUCCCACAAUCCUGUAAUGGGAUAUUCUCUAGCUUUCAAACUCCUCCCUAUGGCUUAUUACUAGGGUCACUCCCCUAUUCUCCCUACCCCUCAUCUAACUAUAACUUAUAAAUACAACCCCCUGCCCAUUGACGCCAUCUUUCUUCCCCUGGUAUUGUUGGCUGUUGGAUAACUGGAGAUAAGGAGCCUAUCCCGGGACUAGUGGUCUCCUGUGUAACUAAAGCACAGCUUCCUUUCCUGCCUUCCACUCUUCUGGGAACAAAAGAACCUCAAACCUGAGCUCAUAUCUUGUGCUUUCAAGAGGCACCGACUCACUUUGAGAAUUAAAAGUGGUCUCCUGUGUAACUAAAGCACAGCUUCCUUUCCUGCCUUCCACUCUUCUGGGAACAAAAGAACCUCAAACCUGAGCUCAUAUCUUGUGCUUUCAAGAGGCACCGACUCACUUUGAGAAUUAAA